CCCUGGUUGAUCCUGCCAGUAGUCAUAUGCUUGUCUCAAAGAUUAAGCCAUGCAUGUCUCAGUACAUACCGAAUUAAGGUGAAACCGCGAAAGGCUCAUUAUAUCAGUUAUGGUUCAUUAGAUCGUACUCACAUUUACUUGGAUAACUGUGGUAAUUCUAGAGCUAAUACAUGCAAACAGAACUCCGACCGGAGACGGAAGGAGCGCUUUUAUUAGAUCAAAACCGAUGGGCGUCGGCGGCCGGCGUUUCGCGCGCCGCGUCGUCGUCGUCGCAUAGCUCUCACGAUGAAUCUGAAUAACUUUAUGCCGAUCGCACGGUCAAGCACCGGCGACGCAUCUUUCAAAUGUCUGCCUUAUCAACUUUCGAUGGUAGGUUAUGCGCCUACCAUGGUUGUAACGGGUAACGGGGAAUCAGGGUUCGAUUCCGGAGAGGGAGCCUGAGAAACGGCUACCACAUCCAAGGAAGGCAGCAGGCGCGCAAAUUACCCACUCCCGGCACGGGGAGGUAGUGACGAAAAAUAACGAUACGGGACUCAUCCGAGGCCCCGUGAUCGGAAUGAGCACACUUUAAAUCCUUUAACUAGGAUCAAUUGGAGGGCAAGUCUGGUGCCAGCAGCCGCGGUAAUUCCAGCUCCAAUAGCGUAUAUUAAAGUUGCUGCGGUUAAAAAGCUCGUAGUCGAAAUUGUGUCCCGGGCCGCCGGUUCGUCGCUCGCGACGUCAACUGGCGCGCACGCGGGACGUCCAGCCGGUGCUCGAACCCGCCGACGGUGCUCUUAACCGAGUGUCCAGGCGGGGGCCGGCAACGUUACUUUGAACAAAUUAAAGUGCUCAAAGCAGGCUAAACUGCGCUCGCAUAAUCAGUGCAUGGAAUAAUCGAAUAGGACCUCUGUUCUAUUUUGUUGGCUUUUGUAGAACAAACAGAGGUAAUGAUCAAUGGGUGCGGAUGGGGGCAUUCGUAUUGCGACGUUAGAGGUGAAAUUCUUGGAUCGUCGCAAGACGCACUAAAGCGAAAGCAUUUGCCAAAAACGCUUUCAUCGAUCAAGAACGAAAGUUAGAGGUUCGAAGGCGAUCAGAUACCGCCCUAGUUCUAACCAUAAACUAUGCCAGCCAGCGAUCCGCCGAAGUUACUACUAUGACUCGGCGGGCAGCUACCGGGAAACCAAAGCUUUUGGGUUCCGGGGGAAGUAUGGUUGCAAAGCUGAAACUUAAAGGAAUUGACGGAAGGGCACCACCAGGAGUGGAGCCUGCGGCUUAAUUUGACUCAACACGGGAAACCUCACCAGGCCCGGACACCGAAAGGAUUGACAGAUUGAGAGCUCUUUCUUGAUUCGGUGGGUGGUGGUGCAUGGCCGUUCUUAGUUGGUGGAGCGAUUUGUCUGGUUAAUUCCGAUAACGAACGAGACUCUGCCCUGCUAAAUAGGCGACUAAACACGACGGCGCCGCCAAGGCGUCCGUCGCGUAACAGACAUCUCGAAGGCCCGUCUUUUGUGGGUCGUCCCGUGCGCGCGCCGCUUUCAGAGCGGCAGCCGCCGUCCGGGCUCGCGCCCGCGUCGGAGCGGCAACCGCUCGGGACCGAUUCGCAUCUGCGAGGUUCUUACACUGUCUGCGGACACUAAAUUCUUCUUAGAGGGACAAGCGGCUUGAAGCCGCACUACAAAGAGCAAUAACAGGUCUGUGAUGCCCUUAGAUGUCCUGGGCCGCACGCGCGCUACACUGAAGGAAUCAGCGUGUGCGUACAAGCCCUAGGCCGAGAGGUCCGGGUAACCCGCUGAAACUCCUUCGUGCUAGGGAUUGGGGCUUGAAAUUCUUCCCCAUGAACGAGGAAUUCCCAGUAAGCGCGAGUCAUAAGCUCGCGUUGAUUACGUCCCUGCCCUUUGUACACACCGCCCGUCGCUACUACCGAUCGAACGAUUUAGCGAGGUCUUCGGACCGGCGCCCGGCGACAUCACCUGUCGACCGGAUUGCGCGGGAAAGUUGACCGAACUUGAUCGUUUAGAGGAAGUAAAAGUCGUAACAAGGUUUCCGUAGGUGAACCUGCGGAAGGAUCAUUA
rnacentral:rRNA from 1 species